GUGCUUUAAAGGAAAGGUGACGCAGGGCGGGGCGCCGUCCCGCUGGAAGGCGGAAGUCCUCCGACAGAUAGUGCGGAGGGCCGGGGGUGGGGGGGGCUGGUUCUUGCGGGCUCUCGCUUUUAGUGUAAUGUUGAGUAAAGUGGUUCAUACACGUUCUUAAGGUUCACGGUGGUUUAAGGAGCCAAACUGCUCCGGUUUGCAGGAAAUUCCUCAAGACCCGGUGGGAAUCUGCUGUCGUGACGCAGUGAAGUCACCUAAUGAGAGAGUUCACCAGACCAGAGGAAACAACGCAAUCCCUGGAUCAGCCUUCCGAGCUCCUUGAGAGCAAAGGCCCAAGCAUGGAGGAAACCUUUGCAACAGGGAGGCCCCUAAGACUGUGUUUCAGCCUGAGGUCAGCGAGGUGCAAUGUAUCUGUUCCACAAACCAGGUCUUUCCCACCACCCCAACACUCUCCUGGCAAAGUCAGCAUCCAUGUGGAAACACAAAUUCGUCUGGCACAUGGAAGUGAAGUCCUUUUGGAGAUGGACUCAGGAUGUCACUGCUGGGAGAAAUGAUUCAGUUGAGGGUCUUCCAAUGUCAGGGUCUAUGGACAACUGGCUGGCUUGGAAUGGGUGGUACAGGAUCCCUGGAUAGAGAUGAAAAACCAAGUCCCCCAAUGUGACUUGACUUACCCAUGGUCACAGAACUAGUUGGUGAGGGACUCAAGCCCUCAGACUCUUGUCUCUCCUCAGCAACAUCAAUCACUAACCCCCAUGGGAGCCCAGGAAACUGACUCUGAUGGCUUACUUUUCAGCAAAAUCUGGUGAUUAAACCCUGCAUUCUUCAUGACCUUGGCCUUUGAUACACAAAUGCUCUGGUUUCUGAAAUGGAGAGGCAGGCACAGACUCCAUCUGAGCUUUUCUGCUGGUUCAUCCAUCUCUGAAACAAAGAGAGCCUUGUGGUUUUAUUUGGAUGGGGAGGGGCGCAGUUCCGAAGGGAAUUAGCAAGACCCAGAAGCGCACUUGUGUGAGUCAGAACAUUAUUCUUCUAUAAGAACAGACCUCCUAGAUGUAUUCAUCCCCGUUACAUAACUGCCUCACUGCCAGGGGGCCAGCCUUGGACGCUCCUCAGUGAAAAGGUUGCAGGAGAAGGCAAGCCUCAGGACACACCUCAUGCCUUCCUCUACUGAACUCAGGGGGAAGGAAAAGACAUGUUGCCCUGAGGGCAUCUUGAUCCUGGAAGGAAACUAAGGAAGACUGGGUGAAGGGAGUGGGUGGCGAGCCAAGUCUCCCACAUGCCCACUCUGUGCUGGGUCCUGCCCACAAGUAGCAUCAUUUGGCCAUUUUUAUAUCUACCUAGCCAAAGCUUGAAAACUGCAGAAAGGACCUGCCCCAGGUGAUCCACUGGGGAUGGUGGCCACAGUCCUGCAUUCAUCCUCAACGGUCUACAAGUCAAAUUCCAUGUGUCUGUGGGCUUCACACCACAGGCAGCCCCCUGGUGGAUCUGUAUAGGAACCCACCACUGUCCUCAUCAAGACAAACACCGGCCAGACAUUCCAGAAAAUGAAGAAUACUCCCCUGGUGAGUUAUUUAGGCGGAGAUGUUUCCAUCUAGGGGGAUUAAUGACGUAGCACCUCUUGCCUGCACUACUGAAAAGCUUCAUAUCUCUUCUAUUGCCUGUCGUGUCCUUCUGAUCUGCUCUCCACUGGGCAGCUGAUAUGUUCUUGUGUGUGUGUGUGUGUGUGUGUGUGUGUGUGUUAAAAUAAACAUAACUAAAACCUACCA
rnacentral:lncRNA from 12 species